AUGCCCACCGGUAUAUGGCGUAGGGGUGUAUGGCGUAGGGGCACAGCAUCGGGAAACCGGAAUGGGAAGCGGCAGCAGCAGGGCUCGGGAAAUGAGCUUGAAGCUUUCUUGGAAGAGCUUCAACGACGGCCAGAAGUAAGGAUCAUCAACAAGUAUGCGCUCCUUGCAGCGUACGUCCGAAUUGCCCUGAAAUCCAUCGGGGCCCUCAUGCUUUUGUGGGCCACCGUGGUCCUUCUCGGGGGCUUCGUCGAUGACCUGAAGAAGGUCGAUUUUUGGAUUCUGACCAGUAUCGCGUUCCUGCAGGCUAUCGGAAGCGUGCAAAGAUCAGUACCAAAAGAAGCGAGGGAUGGAUGUCAUGCUGCUGGAAUCUGGACGAUGCACUGCGUCGUGCCGUCCGAUAGUGCCUGCCGCCGUGCGCGCAUGCAAAUAUGCGAUGGCGGAUGGAAAUCAGGGCGGCGGCUUGCGAACAGAAUUUGGGAACAGGGGAAGGGCGGCGCCCGUUCGUUUGCUGCUGGAUCGGUAGAUAUUUUUUGGCGAAGGUAA
rnacentral:rRNA from 1 species